UCACCUGCUGCUCACAGCUGUGCCCACUGGGGAUGAGGUUCAGCCCCAGCCCCACUCCCAGUUACCACAAACUGUGUGUCUGCAACACAGCAGUAUGAGCCACUCAGCAAUGACACAGACCCUGGAAGAAAGAGGCUGCUUGCUCUCUCCAACAGUGAAGGAGAUUCUGAAGCAAUAUGCUUGAAAUGUGGAGUUGGCUACAAAGUACCACACCUGAAAUGUUUCUACACUAAUGCCCACAGCAUGAAGAACAAACAAGAGGAGCUGGAACCUUUGGCCCACUCCCAGAGAUUUGACAUCAUUGGCAUAAGUGAAAGCUGGUGGGAUGAGUCCUGUGACUGGAAUGCCCGGACAGAUGGUUGUAGGCUCUUCAGGAGGGAUAGGAAGGGCAGAAGAGAUGUUGAGAGUUUGGCACUGUAUGUAAUAGAAGAGUUAAAAUCGUUAAUUGAGCCCAUUUUCUGAAUCACUUGUCUGUCUUCAGAUUUACAGAACAUUUUAAGCAGAAAGUCAUACCUGUUGCAGGCUUGGAAAAUUGCUGAACUUUGCUGCAGACUAAAAGACUUUGAACAACUUCAAAGAAAAAGAAAAAGACCAUAAUUCUACCCAAACCAGUAUACCUUGAUGGCUCUGGUAUUCUUGUGGAAGAGAUCAGAGAGCUGAGACAAGCGUUUCAGCAUCAGUAAUGGCUGAUCAUGACCCCCCAUAACUGUGUCUCCAUCUCUGUUCAUGUCCUACUCUGCUCUUGUCAAGAUAGCACUGCUGAAAUCAGACUCCUAAGUGCAGCAACAUGAUGUGGCACUGCUGCUGCAAUGAAGAUAAAAGGUCACUGGGAACCAGCUGAGAUGAAGUACAGUGACUGGGUACACCCACUAUUGCAGAAUACAGAACAAACAAGAAUAAAGUUUUAACCUGGAAGUUAUUGCUUAUACAGUUUGUGGGUCUUGGAAACAGUUUCAGUAUUGUAAAUUUAAUAUGUCAACUCAAGUCUGGCAGAACAGGAUUAUUUCACUAGGAUAGUGUCUAAAAUCUGAACCCUUCUUUUCACAUCAACGUUCCUCAAUGGAAUAAAUUACUUUCACUACUAUCAAAUAUUGGAGAAAGUUUACUAUUAAGUGACAGUUGCAGCAACCAGUUUGAUGAAAUAGGAAAUUCAAAGGUGCCCAGGAAGCAGUUGUAUCACUGUAUUUUUAGAAAGACUGGAACUUAUACAAUUCCCCAAGCUGCUACAAAAUAACUUCUGAACAAAAUAAAUAAGAGUAUUACUGAAAAUCUGGGGAUCUGCGAACUUCGAGGACUACAGGGAUUUCAUGGUACCUGAAUAUGGAUGCUAAAUCACUUAUGUAUCUAUUAAAAAUCACUGACUUGGGAACUUACACAACAUGAUGGCAGCAUUUUCUUGCAAGCUAGUGCUCAAGAGUAUGCUAACACUGGUGCAGUUAUAAGAAUUUCUCACACUGGAAGCUGAUGGCUUAUUCUAAAGGAUUGACUACCAGGACCGUUCUCAGCUAAGAACCCAAAGAGAAGAGGAGGAGUAAAAGUAAUUAAAUCAUACCUGGUGACAUUUUAAAAGUGCUGGAGGAAAAAAGUCAUCUUUGUAAUCUACCUGUCAAAUGAGAAGAAAUGCAGUUUCCAUUGUAAAGCCUAGGGAUGAAGAAAUAGAAAUAUAAAUGAUGAAAAAUUUUUACUGGUAGCACCUGAGGUUAAGGGUGUUUGGUGCAUGUGCUUGAUUAUUUACAUUUGUUUAUUAGAGCAUUUUAAAUUAGGAUAAAAGAAGAAACACUGACCAGCAAAAUCCCCCAAAAUUUAGAGAUUAUGGCAGAGAUGCAUUUCCCAUUAUAAUGUAGAAAUUAUUGGUUCUGGUUCUAUUAACUUAUAAAGUACAUUAAAAAACGCACUUCUGGAAAGUUUUAAUAUGAAGUUUGUAGGCAUGCUUACAAAAAGGCAUAAUUAUACCAUCACUAACAAAUCCAUUGUAGUUAAGUAUGUGUCUUUUCAACAAAAAUAUAAUACAGACCUCCCAUGUAACUUAAUAUAUGCAAGACUUGAAGAGCUGAGAUAUGACAGUCCUUGUAAUACAGAAAUUCCCACUGGCUGCAGGUGGCUGAAUAAAAUGCAUUUCACACAGGGGAGGUUUGCAUAGAGACGUUAAAUGACCAAACACCCACGUGGAUUCCUUCUUCAGAUAAAGCAGCUGUUCUCAUCUCAUCUGCCACUGUUCUUAUAGCUGUCCCUAUAAGGGAUACACACUCAUGUUUCACUUUUGACAUAAGUAACCUCCCAAAAGAGUACCACUGAAUCAUACUGGGCAGAACUUUCCACAUGCUCAUCUGUUGUUCUGGCUAGCCAAAAUUUGUGUGGAUUGGGGUUAGUGCUGCAGAGGUGUGGAGGAAGAGAUUAUUUUGGCUUGGCCAGAGUUCUAUUAUGAAAGUUUUUAACCAAUAUAAAUAGAAAUAGGCAAAGCAUAACACAAGUAGCUCUGACAGUGCAACUGACUGCUAGGACUCAUUGUUCUAAUUAGACAGAAAUAUGUAAACUUGGAAGGUAAAACAGGCAUAUACAUUUCUACAAACAAGGACUUUAGGAAACAUUAUAAUGAAAUAUUAAGACUCAGUUUUAAUUUAGUUUCUACUGUGAGAAAGGCAAGACAAAUUUCUUUUGAUUCACUAAUGCAAACUACACACAAGACCAAAAUGAAAAUAUUAUUACUAGUGGCAAAAAAAAUUUAUUGGUUUUUGAAGUAUUUCAACUACUUUUACUAUGGCAAUUCUUGGGAAUUUUUUUAGGGAAGCAGAUAGUUUAUUGUUUACAGCCCCUCUCUAGAUGUAUGCUGAAGUUCUUACAUUAACAAGUCACGUAUACUUUUAGAUUGUCCAAUAAAAGAAAUUAAUUCUGUGGUUGGAACAAUAUAAACUGUGGUUUUAAUUGAAAUUUCAAUGGAAAAGGAAGAUGAUGAAUUAAACUGCUCUGACUUACACAGGUUUAUUUUUUCAAUACCAUUAGAAAGUCUCUCUCUCAAAAAAAAAAAAAAAAAAAAAAUAGCUGUGGUCCCUUAUCCCUAAAUUCUCUGAGAAGCAGGGGAUUUGGCCAUGCAAUUUCAUUAUUCUGAGGGCUGAGUGACUAAAUCCAAUUCAACUCUAAGAAAUUAACUCUGCUACAUUGAUUUAUCAUCAUCUCUGUCUAUUAGUCAAUUCUAAACCCCUAGACCUUGUGACAAAUAAAGUAUUCCAGUAAGUGCAGCAUUUUAAAUUCCAUUAAAUUGCAUUCUGCUUUUUAAACUCAAUUAUCAUGAAAUCAAUUGUAAAAAUUCUUCCUACUAAGAAGUAUGAAAAAAAAAAUCCUAGUUCUAACUCACAUCAAAUGCUAGAGUUUUAUGCUGUUUUAUGCUUUGUGGUGUUUUGCUUCAUCUACUUAAACCAGGGUGAAAGAUUCUUGAGGUCAGCUAAAAUACUCUAAGUGUAGCAUACAUUGAAAUGGACAGAUUUAGAAACAGUUUCCAUGGGAAUUUAAACAGUUAGCCUUGUAAAACAUAUGAGGCUUUCCAAUGCUUGAGAAAUAUAAACUAUGGGAGAAAUAGCAUGGUGCAAGAGAAGCCUGUAAAAUCUUACUUGGUCAUCUGUGGUUGAAGAAAGAAAUGCAGAAAGGAGCUCUGGAGACUGAGAAACUAGGAUCCUGUUUCUAGCUGAAUUCUUUGGGUGUAUUUUCUUAUCCAAUAUUCUACAAAGCACAUGGUGUGUAGUCAAUUCUUAACCUUUAUUGAAGUCUCCCACAAAAAAACUGUAUACGGGAACCUCUGAUGGUUUAUUCAUGAUGAAGCAACUAGGGUACUUCAUAUUACAACCCAUUCUUAAAUGAUCCACAGUUUCGUUAAUUUCUAGAGUAUAUUAGAAAAAUAAAGUAUUGUAUUGGAAUGUGUUACAGUGGAAACCCCACUGUAACCACCUGUAAGUAAUAUAUUUAAAUGUUUCAUUAGAUAGUUGAUACAUUAGCAGAAAGAAGAAGAUUGCAUUUUGCCUAUUAAAAGUCAUGCAUACUCAGAGAAAUUGCAGAAGAUUUAAACUAGAGACAGAGAGAUGUUGUCCUCUCAAAACAAAAUGUACCCUUAGUGUGUUUAUGACUAUCAUUGGGAAAUAAUGUACUUUUUUGUGUCAGGGAGUCAUUAGAUCAUUACUGAGAGUGCCUCCUGUACUUUCAUGUAGAGGAAAUUUACAUAACUGAAACUUCAACCAAUUAACCCAGAAUUCAUUUGAAAUAACAUAGCUUGACAUUGACUGGGGUGGUGUUUUUCUAGGGUCCUGACGGCUCAGGUAUAUCUACAUUGCCAGAGAAUGAACUAUUAAUUACUGCUAGCCUAAAAACUCUGUGUUAGAUUUGUUUUCCUUCUGAUGAGUCGUGUCCAAGGCAUUUUAAGGUCGAUAUCCUUUCUGCACUGUGGCCCUUAUAAAACUGAGUUAUUUUGUUAAAUUUCUCAUUGGGAAAGUUCACAACUUAAGAAAAUCACAACUUGUGUGUGUGUGUGUGUGUGUUAGUGUGUGUGUGUGUGUCUAGGCUUUGUCAUAAUCCUUAGCUUCAGAAAACUUAAGAACUUCAAAACCUCUGUCAAAUGCUUGUUUUGCACCUUUAAAACUCUUUGCAUCACAAAUGAUUAUCUGAAAAGGACCAGUAAUUAAACAAAAUUUUUUUUUUUUUUGUGAUGGCUUCUUCAUUCUCUUUUAAAUUUUGUGGGGUUUUUGCUAGAUUAAUGGGCAGAGAGAAGUUCUGUGACCAUACCUGAGAGAGGUGUGACCUUGCUGAUUUUGGAAGUUUCUUUGCCCUGUGUUUUCAAGUCUGCCAUAUGAAUCAAAUGCCCUCAUCAGCCUGAUUCUGCACUUGUUACAAGUUUCCAACAAGAUGAUUUUCUAAAAAAGGGUGCUAGCUACCCACUUUUUACUAUAUUAUCUCCAAAAGAAAUAUCUUCCUUAUACGUCUAGGUCUUUUUGUAGUCUGUGUGCUUUGCUUGCUCCUUGAAAGGAUUUCUCAGCAUUUGAUUGAGUGAAAUACAUACUCCAUGCCUCUUGAAUAGCAUCAGAGAAAGUCCUCUGCAAAUUUCCCAACUUCCAUGAAAGGUAAGAUAGCUAAAUUUUUAUAUUUUUGUUGAUUUUAUUUUCUUUGAAGGGUUCUUUUUGAGACUUUAUUGUGACUAUGUUGUUUUGUUUAAAUCCUUUGAAUUCGCCAUCACAGAUUUUGGGAAUAAAUUUGUUUUGUAGGACAUUUUUUAACAGGGAACUUUAUUAAUGGACAAACAUUUCUAUGGACCCACAUAUGAGUGUCAUAAAUUGAGCAUUAUUUAGGUAUGUAUGUUCAUUUAAACCCCUUCAUACACUCCCAUUUUCUUUACAAACCAUUGCUUAGAGACCACUUGAUUCCAUAGGAUGGAAAUGCAUAAUUGUACAGUAUUCUGAAUAUGUACUGUCAGGUUUAUUGAAACAUUUGUUUCUAAUGUCAGUGAAUAUGUAAUUCAGAAAAGAUCAAUGAAAAAUAAUUAAUAGAACCCCAUAACAUAAAUUUUAUUUAUUUAUUGACACUGAAUUAAUCCCUAUUUAUCACAGUACUGCAUCUAUAUUUUCUUUACCAUAUAUAAUUUUCUUUGCCAUUCUCUAGGACACUUGAAAAUUCAUUAUUUUUCAGUAUUUAAAAAAAAUAUUCUAAUGCCUUAAUUUAUGAGCUUUUUAAAACAUCUGAGUAUGUGAUUAAGGAUUUAUCUCAAAGUCACCAGUAGGCAACUACUUAUUUUAGGCUUGGUUUUUUAAUUGACUAUAAUGUAAAUGAGGUGUCAAAAGUUCUUUGAAGAUCUAGAAGUAAAUGACUUGUUUCUAAUCCUGCAAAGACUAGAGUGAAGUCAUCUGUCUGUAUACAUGAGUUUGGUAAUUAAAUGUUUCUAGAGAUCCAGUAUGUAGUAAUUAAAGAUUUGGCUAUAAAAUUCUGGAGCAUUUGGUCAAGAAUUCAUGCAGGAUGUUGGUGGUAAAACUAAGAAUAUAAUUCUUGAUACAGUUCAUCCUUUCAUGUUCCAGAAUAACCAAAAAUUCUCCUACUUCUCUCACAGGGUAUUCAUUCUUUGUAGUUAAACUACUUACACUCCAGGUACUGGCUAUUUGAACAGUGAUGAAUAAAACAUUCAAAGAAAAAUUUUUCUCUAUGUUCAGAAGAACACUCCCAUUUUUCAUGGAAAUUUACAGAAUACUAAUACAGACUAAAAUUUACAAGUUUAGUUGAAAAAUGAAAGUGUGUAAGCUACUAUGUAAAGAAGAAUUAGAACAAAUAGUGUUUUCAACAGUGUAUAUCUUUCAGUCUGGUAAAAUGGAUACUCAGGUUAUUUCAUCCCUUUAUAAAAUUGAAUUGGAAGUAAGCUGCACCUGAUAGCUCAUCAGUGAUCUUCCUCUUGCUUCACAAGAUCUGUUGCCUUACUGAAAUUACUUUUAACAAAAAUAGUUCCUAUUAAUUCCUUGCAUAGAAUGAGACGGUUAAUGAAAUUUGUUCUAGAUUUGUUUAAAUUUAAAUUGGCAUUUUGUCUAACAAGCUUUUCUCUCUUCAAGAAGUACAGGUUCAGAAAAUAUUUGUCAAGUUGCUGAACUCAGUUGGCUGUUAAUGAAGAAUCUUUUCAUAAACUUGUUGAGCUCCCCUGAUUCUGAGAUCCCUUUAGGAAAAAUUAAGCAUUUGCUUCCACAGACUUUUACGGAAUCCCACUGGUCUCAUGUAUAGCUAUCAACUUCUGAUUUCUCAAGGUUCCUUUAUAUAUUUUCUCAUGGACACCUUAUACAAAGUUUGUUCAAAACAUAAUUUGGUUUAAAUAACGUUUUCAACCAGUUACUCUUUGCAAUAAGGUUGAAAAUGAAUUUGUUCAACUUCACCAAUGAGCAUUGAUCUGAAAAAGUAAAAAAAAUUAAAAAGUAGCAAAUCUGUUUAAGUUGUGCAUUCUGGAGACACACUUUUAUGAGAAUAGGGCCACAGUGAUGAACGCUUCUUGAUGCUAAGUGCAUAAUUGUAAAUCUUUGAAAACCCAAAAUCAAGAGAUCAGAGAGAGCCUUUUGAGGUUUGAUGCUGGUUCUGCGCUGCCCUGAUUGAAGGGACCCUGGAAAUGCCAGCGGAGGCACCUGUCCAGGGGAGGGUGCUGGCCACAGCAGCUGUCACUAACACUUCUGAAGGACACCUGUGCUAAGCAGAGGCUCCUUGCGGGGAGCACAGGAGAUAAGAUGAACAGUCUUAUGGGUUGUAAAGGAAAUGAGAGAAAUAAGUGGCCAUUAUAAGUGAAAUGUUGAACUGACUUGGAAGCUUUAACUUAGACUCUCAAACCAACAAAUGCUUACAUAUUGUGUCUUUAUUUUGGUUUUGUUUGCAUUCAUCUCUAUAUACCUUUUGCUUUUGAUGGUAUUUCUACUUCUCUUAAGUCUCCCCAAGGGAAUAUAACCAUAUGAUAACAUAUUCCACAGCAAAAUGCACCACCAUGUUAAAUGAUGAGAUCAUUAAAAACCACUCUGCGCUCCUGAACCUUAUCUACUCAGUAGCUUUCUGCCUUCUGAAAUAACAGUGGUUUGUGGAUAGUGGUACUUUUCACUCCUAGUGAUAAAGAAAGCAAGUACUUGUGCUGAAAAUGUGCAUGGUGACCAAAAGGUGAAAACCACCAUCUGUGACCUAAACUGCAUCUGUUCAUUGGCCACUGAAAGAGGAGGACAGUUUUGAUUUACUAGCCAGACAGCUUUCUCAAUUUUCUUGUCAAGAAAUAUCUUUAAACUGCAAUACAGUUAUGACAGCUUGGAUAACAGCAUUGAGCUAUUCUCCAGCAGCUUUUAGAUUUUACAUGCUAUAUGCCUAGACCUGUCAGAGGGACCUGUGUCAGACACAACACUUCUAAAAAAUUUUUAAUCUUUUUCUUGCACUUAUUGAAUGUGAAUUCUCCUAGUCACUUGGUUUGAAUUUUAGAAUUUUUACCCCACAGAUGUGGACUUAAUUAUAAUUUAAAUAUUAAUAGAGACUGAACCACUAGGUCUUUAUUAUUAUUUUAAAAAAAGUUGAAAAGGAAUAUUCCUCAUGCGAUAUAUUGCCAACACGUAGGUAUUGACAGAUGUUGAAAGAUAGAUAAGCAGCUUGUUUUCUGUAGUUGUGGAGGUUUAUUUCCUGUGGGUUUCUUCUGUGUGUAUGUUUGUUUUUCUUUUUUUUUUUAAUAAGUUUAGUGGUUUUUAAUAACAACACCUACUAGCUAAUAGAACUUAAAAUAGUGAGUUAAGAAAUAAAGAAUGAUACCUGUUUGUCUUAACAAACAUCAGGUCUUCAUGUGAUUUUACUUGUAACACCCAAAUUGCAGAUGGUUAAUUAGGUUUUUUAAUCUAAUGGGAUCAAUUUUAAUAGAAUAUCCAAUGUUCUGUAAAUGCUAUGAACUGCCAAAUAAACUUCUGUUUACAUUCUUGUCAUAUUUUCUCACAUGCUUGUACAAAGAACAAUUCAGUUAUCCGAGGCCUUGUUUCUAUUUCUUGCUUAAUAUUGUUCUUCCUGCCUUUUGGGAAGUUAAGCUUGUUGGCAGAAGGAUAGGUAUGUCAACAGCAGUGACUUAUCACUGUCUUUCUGCUUCUUUCUUUUCUACUGCUGUCUAUAAGUGUUAUGAUAGGUGUUGACUGAAUUUGCAACAUUGCUAUGAAGAACAUUUUUCAUUGAAGGAAACACAUUUUUUUAGCUCAAAUGUACAGUAAACUUUGUGGUGCUGUAUGUGUGCAUAGUAAUUUAUUCUACAGGAAAUAUAUAUGAAAGAAAUAGAUAUUUUUUAAAAUAUCACAUCAUGAGCCACUCCUGUACAAUGCUGCUUUAUACUUUAUUUUCUACAGUCUUUUGAUUAAGACCAGAAUUUAUCAUACCUAUCACAAGCAGACCAGAACUGAGGCUUGUCAUCUAAACUCUCUUCCAUAAUCAACUCUGAAGAAUAGUUUGUUCUUCCCAUCUUUAGGUAAAUGUUCAGGCCUUGAUGAGAUAAAUUAUCUUCCAAAGGCAUUGUAGAGUUUCAGUGUCAUCUCUAUUUUCAUUAAUAUUACCAAUUUAUUGUGCAAAUAAAAUUUAUUGUUCAAGAAACCUUGUAUGUUUUAUCUCAGCUAUGAACUUACAUGCCAUACUUAUGUGCUUUACAGACUUUGAAAAGUCCAAAGUCUCUUUAGAGGUUUUACAUGGCAUUGCUACGAUAAACUUGAAGGUUUCCUUUUAAAAGGUUUAGAAAAAAUAUUUUUUCUCAGUGUCUAGGAACGAGCUUAACUUAUUAUUACUUACUGUGUGAUAAGGUAUGCCUUUGAUUAUUUGAUAAUCCCCAAACCCCUUGCUGGAAGAGGUACUGAUGCUGGGUGCUGUUCAUGACUUUGUCUAUCUUAUCAUAUAGCCCUUGGGUAUCUCGCUGUAUCUAAAGACACCUAGUCUGUGCAGCUCUUUCUGUUACAGAAGCUUCCAUUCUGACUCUCUUUUCCUGGGACUAGACUCACACAAUCGUGGUUAAAGUAGGAAUGAGUUAUGGUUUAGUAUCAUGACCGUGUUUCAUUUUGUUGCAAACUUUGGUAUUUUUAAAACUUAAUAUUUGAUCAGUUUUCUGAUCACUGUUGUGCAUGGAACUGUUGCUUUAAUAGUCUUGUCAAUUAUUGCUCUGAAAUCAGAUACCUAAGUGAUGGCAUCUCAUUUUGUAUAGAAUUCAGAUUGUUUUAUAAUAAUUUUAAAUUUACCUGCUACUAUUUAGCACCCAUUCAGAAGGGUCCUCUGCAGUUGUUUAUAUUUCACAUUUGUCUUAUCUGUCUUGAAUAGCUUCAACAAAUUGGUUUUAACUUUAUAGUUCAUCCCUUGUUUAGAGAACUCAUUAAAGGGCUGAACAACCAAUUACCAAUUUUUACCUUUCUUAUUCUGUGUGGGUCUCAGUAGGUGACUGUUUCUUUCUGCUGUACUUCUAGACAGCUUUUAGUUUAUUCUUUCUUAAGUAAAAAUUUUUUUUCUUUUUUCAGUAUUUUAAGAACUAUCUCAGAUGCCUUUGCUAGCAAUAGUGAUAUGAAAGUUAUCAUCUGUGCUAGAUUUUGUGAUGUCUAGUCAAGUCUAUUUUGGAUGAAGUUUGAAUGAUUUGAAUGAUGCUGUUGGGGAAAUUACACUUGUAAUGGAAAUCUUCCAGUGGGGAAUCGAUAUCUCAGUUUGCUUUGCAAAGAACAUUACAGAUAUAGUCUAUAAUUCUCUCUUGUACAUACAGUCAGUCUUCUGAGUUCCUUAUUAUCAACUACUUCCAUGUGUCCUCUUUUUAUUAUGAAGGCAAGUCACUUUAUGACUUCAAUGAAAAAAAAAGCCCAGAACACAAAAAUCAACCAUAUAGUAACUUUGAGAUGUCAGAAGGUGAAUUGCUAACACUUAAUACUUUUGGACUCAUUAUAAUCAGUGAGUAAAAAAAUUAAAAAAUAUGGAAUUUCUUCAUGUAGAGAAGGAACCCAGAACAAAGAGGUCCCUGGGCAAUUAUACCUUUAGGACUCAUGCACCCGACCCUCAUGGUCCUUGCACACGCCUUGUGGUCUGAUGGUGAUUUUUGGUCUGGGGUUUCCUUCCACCUUAUUGGGUUCUUUCCCUAUGUCUGUGCAGACAGGCUGUUCUUAUCUUGAGGAGCUGCAGCUUCUGCUGGCUGCUCUAAUCCCCAGUAGUCUCUCUCUUCUGUCUAUUUCUGAUGUACCUGCUCUCUGGCAGAGCACAGAAAACUAAAAAGCCCUAGGUUUAGGAUAACCAUUACCUAGCAACAGUCAAAACAUCAGUGUGUUAUCAAUG